rnacentral:rRNA from 1 species
AACGUAGGGUGCAAGCGUUGUCCGGAAUUACUGGGUGUAAAGGGAGCGCAGGCGGAUCUGCAAGUUGGAAGUGAAAACUAUGGGCUCAACCCAUAACGUGCUUUCAAAACUGUGGAUCUUGAGUGGUGCAGAGGUAGGCGGAAUUCCCGGUGUAGCGGUGGAAUGCGUAGAUAUCGGGAGGAACACCAGUGGCGAAGGCGGCCUACUGGGCACUAACUGACGCUGAGGCUCGAAAGCAUGGGUAGCAAACGGG